UACGUAGGGCGCAAGCGUUGUUCGGAAUUAUUGGGCGUAAAGAGCUCGUAGGCGGUGUGUCGCGUCGGAUGUGAAAGCCCGGGGCUUAACCCCGGGUCUGCAUUCGAUACGGGCAGACUGGAGUGUGGUAGGGGGAGAUCGGGAAUUCCUGGUGUAGCGGUGGAAUGCGCAGAUAUCAGGAGGAACACCGAUGGCGAAGGCAGAUCUCUGGGCCGUAACUGACGCUGAGGAGCGAAAGCAUGGGGGAGCGAACAGG
rnacentral:rRNA from 1 species